UACGUAGGGUGCAAGCGUUAAUCGGAAUUACUGGGCGUAAAGCGUGCGCAGGCGGCUAUGCAAGACAGAUGUGAAAUCCCCGGGCUCAACCUGGGAACUGCAUUUGUGACUGCAUGGCUAGAGUACGGUAGAGGGGGAUGGAAUUCCGCGUGUAGCAGGUGAAAUGCGCAGAUAUCAGGAGGAACACCGAUGGCGAAGGCAGCCCCCUGGGUCAAAACUGACGCUCAUGCACGAAAGCGUGGGGAGCAAACAGG
rnacentral:rRNA from 1 species